UUCGUAUCACAGGGAAGACGAAAACGACGGGAGCUACCAGGAAAUAGAAGAAGGUGAUGACAACGUCGACGACAUCGUCCCCAUCGUAGCUGUCUACUCCAUUAUGCUCACUGCUGUGGCAGUUGUGGUGGCAGCAGUUACUAUUCUUGUCUGCAAGGACGUAAAAGAUGUGGUGAAUAUCUUACUGUGAUGGCAGAGAGAUUGUCCCGUGACUUCAGUGAUGUACCUUGUGCUUCCAACAACGACGGGGAUGUCUUACCCCUACAUGAUUACGAGCGACUUCUGAGGGAAGAGUUCCACAUCUACACGUCUCUCCACCCUUCAACUUCCUAACUCAGAACCACAUCACCAGGUGAAGCCAAAACUGACGGUACAGUUCCUCAUCUACGUCUCUCCACUCUUCAUCGUCCUCCAUCGAGGACCACAGUACCAGGUGAAGCCUAUACUGACGAUACUGUUCCUCAUCUACACGUCUCUCAACCCUUCAUCGUCCCCCACAGAAGUCUAAUCUGACGGUACAGUUCCUCAUCUACACGACUCUCCACCCUUCAUCGUCCCCCUCAUAGGACCACAGUACCAGAUGAAGCCUAAUCUGAUGGUACAGUUCCUCAUCUACAUGUCUCUCCACCCUUCAUUCUCCUCUGCAGAGGACCAAGGCACCAGUAGGGCAUGAACUGAUGGUACAGUUCGUCAUCUAUACGUCUCUUCA